rnacentral:rRNA from 1 species
GGACUACUGACGCAAGGGUGAUACUCUAAGGCAUUGAAGGGGGCCCGCACAAGCGGUAGAGCCUGUAGUUUCAUAUGAAGCAACGCGAAGAAGCAUUCCAAAUCCUGACAUCCUGUAACAACUCGAGAGAUAGAGAUUAGGCCUUCGCGGGACAAAGUGACAGAUGGUGCAUGGUGGUCGUCAGCUCGUGUCGUGAGAUGUGGGGUUAAGUCCCGCAUCGAGCGCAACCCUUAAGCUUAGUUGCCAUCAUUCAGUGGGGCACUUUAAGUUGACCGCCGGUGACAAUGCGUAUGAAGGUGGGGACGGCGUCAAAGCGUCAGAUCCCUCACGCUGUUGGCCUCUGACUUGCUGCAAUGGUCAGUACAAAGCGCAGCGAAUCCGUGAGGUCAAGCAGAUCCAAUAAUGUGGUUCAGCGAUAGGAUCGUAGUCUGCAGCUCCAUGCGCAUGAAAAAUAGAAUCGCUAGUAAUGCGU